UGCUCUGGUUAUAUUUUCAAGGACCAUGUUGAAUAAGAGUGGCAAGAAUGGGGAUCCUUGUCUUGUUCCCAUUUUUAGAGGAAAUACUUUUUCUCUGUUCAGUGUGAUACUGGCUUUGAGUCUGUCAUAUGUAGCUUUUACAAUGUCGAGGCUUUGGCCUCAGUGCCCUGCUGACAUCAUUAAAGGAAUGUGAAGUUGCCCUUCACUGGACUGUGGGCCAGUUUCAACACUAAGAGAAUUAACUGCUUCGUCCACGUUUAAAGGAAUUCACCUGUGAAAAUACGCAAGCCUGGGGCCUUUGGGGGAAUGGAUGAUCGCUCUUGGAGUCUUUCUUUCAUAAUUAUUUCACUGGCUUCAUUCAGAUUUUCAAAGUUCUGUCCCCUCUGCUCCCACGGUUCCUCUGUUCUCCAUGUGAGUCUGCCCUUCUAGACUUCAUGGUCUUGAUUAGCCUCGCCCCAGCCUUAUCUGUUUUUGUUUAUGUAAAUGGUUUUUUCUCUUUUCUAAUUUCUGCUGUUAUAUUUGUCAUUGUCUUCGAAUUUGGGGAGUGGAUAGAUGGGUGCUCAUUUCAUUCACUCUGGCUUAGUGACAGACACUUAGGGUUGUAAAUUUCUCUCAGAACAUCAGUUUUGCCCAGUCCUUUAAGUUUUGAUAUACUUGUUUCACAAUAGUUUUUCUUAAUUUUCUAUAAUUUUAAACUUUCUAUUUUUUAUCCCAGAUAUCAUUAAAGGUUUAGAUUUCCAGGUGA